rnacentral:tRNA from 1 species
GCCACCUUAGCUCAGUUGGUAGAGCAAUACUUUCGUAAAGUAGAGGUCCCCGGUUCGACCCCGGGAGGUGGCUCCA